CAGACUACUUCCAGGACGCCUUAGAGAUAGGAAGCCUUUGAUAAACGUCUAGAGUUAGCUGACAUUCGACGGUUCCCUUCAUAGCUAUUAAACUUGUUCGACACUCAGCACCAGCGUCGACUAACUUCUAUUUGUUCGGCCUUUCGAUGGUGUUAUUAGAUUACGUAUUAUGUUGUUAAGUGUUACCUCCAAUUUGGCUGAAAGGCUGACAGGAUGUCUCCGGUUUUAAGGGCUGCUCCAGAGAGACGUCACUGACGCCUUCUCGCCAAAGGAGACCUUAUGUCGUCAAUUAUCUGUUCUUGAACCAGUUUCCCUGGUGUUGCAGUCUGUACAACUUAACAUAGUGGCCGCUCAACAGCACAUCAGCAGUCACAUUAAAGGCAUAAAAAAAAACAACAACAUGACCAUCCUGAGGAACACGUCAAAGGUGUCAUCUUGAGGAAGGAGAGACUGCUGACAGAAAAACUUGAUAAAUGGCUAUAUGACCUAGAUACAUGAAAUUGUAAUACUUUCAUAGAGUUGGGAAACUUUUUUUCUUCAAUUUGUUUUAGGGUUACUCUACAUAUGUUAGUUGUCCCAUUCGUACCAAAGGAACACUUAUGCCAAAGUUUUAUCAAGAUUGGUCGAACAGUUUUGAAUACAUACACGCAUACCUAUAUACAAAUGCCUUACUUUCUGCUUUAUAUAAUAGAUGUUGCUCAAGCGAAUCAAAAGUACUAUACUUUGUGCAUAGGUCAUAACCUUUUUGUAGAAAACUCCACAUGUAAAGUAAGAGUGGAUUGAAUAUUGAUUGGUUAGUAAAUUAGACAAUGGAAUACACAGUAAUAAUUUAAGAAUCGGUGGACAUUAAAUAGUCCGGUAUUAAUUGUAAUCCAAUAGUUGGUGGACAUUCAAUAGUAUUUUGUAAUAAUAUAAGAAUCAUUGGAUAUGAAAUAGUUUCAUCUGUUGUAAUAAUUUAAGAAUUGGAGGACUUUCUUUUUCUUUAUAUCAGCUUAUAUUCUCUCCACAAUAUCUCUAAAUAAUUGCUCUCCUGUACACUCUCUUCUUUCCUUCUUCAGCAUUUUCAUCUUUCACUCUCCCACUUCCCUCUAUAAACCCUUCUUCAUUUCUCACAUAACUCUUUUCUGUAUAGCUCAGCCCCACGUUGAAAUGAGUUAACGCCCUUUGCUUCCCUCCUCCUUCUUUCUAUGUUUCCUUUCCCAUAUUCUCACUCCCUCCCUCCCUCUCUCUCUUUCUUAUCCUCUUUGAACUAUGUUUUAGACUAAAGAUCAAUGUCACAAGAUCUAUACUUUCUGCUGAAGCCAUAACAAGAUAAAAGCGUGCAUGAAUAUCCAAAGUGUAUGACAUUUUAAUUUCCAAAGAAAAUAAAUUUUAUAAUUUUGUGGUUAGACUACCUUUUAAAUGAUU